GCAUCGGUAGCUUAAGUGGUUAGAGCGUCCACCUCAGAUGCGGGAGGUCGUGGGCUCGACUUAUAAAAAUGGUGCUAGCAGCUGUCUCAUUUGGAGCU